rnacentral:rRNA from 1 species
CGGGUGAGUAAUGUCUGGGAAACUGCCUGAUGGAGGGGGAUAACUACUGGAGACGGUAGCUAAUACCGCAUAACGUCGCAAGACCUAAAGAGGGGGACCUUCGGGCCUCUUGCCAUCGGAUGUGCCCAGAUGGGAUUAGCUAGUAGGUGGGUAACGGCUCACCUAGGCGACGAUCCCUAGCUGGUCUGAGAGGAUGACCAGCCACACUGGAACUGAGACACGGUCCAG